CAUGGCUCAGGAUGAACGCUAGCGGCAGGCUUAACACAUGCAAGUCGAGGGGUAACAGGGAAAAGCUUGCUUUUUUGCUGACGACCGGCGAACGGGUGCGUAACGCGUAUAGAAUCUGCCUUGUACAGGAGGAUAGCCUUUAGAAAUGAAGAUUAAUACUCCAUAAUGUUGAGAAAUGGCAUCAUUUUUUAAUUAAAGAUUUAUCGGUACAAGAUGACUAUGCGUCCUAUUAGCUAGAUGGUAAGGUAACGGCUUACCAUGGCAACGAUAGGUAGGGGGUCUGAGAGGAUUAUCCCCCACACUGGUACUGAGACACGGACCAGACUCCUACGGGAGGCAGCAGUGAGGAAUAUUGGUCAAUGGAGGCAACUCUGAACCAGCCAUGCCGCGUGCAGGAAGACUGCCCUAUGGGUUGUAAACUGCUUUUAUACAGGAAGAAACUUAGUUACGUGUAACUAACUGACGGUACUGUAAGAAUAAGCACCGGCUAACUCCGUGCCAGCAGCCGCGGUAAUACGGAGGGUGCAAGCGUUAUCCGGAAUCAUUGGGUUUAAAGGGUCCGCAGGCGGUCAAUUAAGUCAGAGGUGAAAUCCCAUAGCUUAACUAUGGAACUGCCUUUGAUACUGGUUGACUUGAGUUAUACGGAAGUAGAUAGAAUAAGUAGUGUAGCGGUGAAAUGCAUAGAUAUUACUUAGAAUACCGAUUGCGAAGGCAGUCUACUACGUAUAUACUGA
rnacentral:rRNA from 1 species